GAUGAACGCUGGCGGCGUGCCUAAUACAUGCAAGUCGAGCGAACAGACGAGGAGCUUGCUCCUCUGACGUUAGCGGCGGACGGGUGAGUAACACGUGGAUAACCUACCUAUAAGACUGGGAUAACUUCGGGAAACCGGAGCUAAUGCCGGAUAACAUGUUGAACCGCAUGGUUUAACAGUGAAAGACGGUCUUGCUGUCACUUAUAGAUGGAUCCGCGCCGCAUUAGCUAGUUGGUAAGGUAACGGCUUACCAAGGCAACGAUGCGUAGCCGACCUGAGAGGGUGAUCGGCCACACUGGAACUGAGACACGGUCCAGACUCCUACGGGAGGCAGCAGUAGGGAAUCUUCCGCAAUGGGCGAAAGCCUGACGGAGCAACGCCGCGUGAGUGAAGAAGGUCUUCGGAUCGUAAAACUCCGUUAUUAGGGAAGAACAAAUAUGUAAGUAACUAUGCACGUCUUGACGGUACCUAAUCAGAAAGCCACGGCUAACUACGUG
rnacentral:rRNA from 1 species